GGCCGCCGGCAGCGCAGCGCAGCGCGGCCGCGGCGCCCCGAGGCCGCCGGCACUGCGGGGAGCUGCACGCAACAGGGCAGCAGCGAGGCAGCGGCGGCGACUUCCAGCAGAGCACGGCCGAGCCUGGAAAAAUCGGAGCUGCUCAUUGCCCCUGCAUGGCAUCGCCAGACGUCGGCGGCAGAUCUUCCGCGGCCCCGACGGGGCCCCGCGGACUCCUCCGUCGCGACUCUGAAAGGAAGAGCGAGCAGCCGUGCCCGAGCAGGGGCACGCGUCGCCUCUCCUCCCCGCGUCGCCCCCAGCACCGCGGUGCCACUGUAACGUCGCAAACGCCUUCGCCUGCCGAAUAAAACUCGAGUCAGCACA